rnacentral:lncRNA from 1 species
UUAGUUACUCCAAAUCCGACGUUCGUAAAAAAAGACCAGGUGAACUACCUACGAGCCGCCGUCACCACCAUGUCACAGCCUCAUUUCCUCCUAGUGACCUUCCCUGCACAAGGCCACAUAAACCCAACCUUACAAUUUGCCAAGCAUCUUAUACGUAUUGGCGUACGUGUAACUUUCGUCACCUGCAUCUCGGCUUGCCGCCGCAUGACCAAAGUCCCCACUGCUCAGGGCCUAACGUUUUUACCCUUUUCCGAUGGCUACGACGACGGUUUUCAACCCGGCGAUGACAUAGAACAUUACCUAUCUGAAUUGAGGCGACGAGGCAAAGAAGCCAUCUCCGAGUUUAUAACAAGCAGUGAAAACGACGGCAAAUCCGUCACUUGCAUUGUCAACACCCUGUUCAUCCAUUGGGCCUCGGAGGUGGCGCGUAAACAUCACAUCCCGACAGCUUUACUUUGGAUUCAACCCGCCACCGUUUUCGACAUCUAUUAUUUUUACUUCAACGGAUACGAAUCCACCAUUAAAGCUCCUGUUGAUGAAACAAACCCCAAGCGUUCAAUAAAAUUACCAGGCCUGCCGCUACUCGCCACUCGCGACCUUCCGUCGUUCGUCACCGCUUCAAACGUUUACCGUUGGGCACUGUCGUUGUUCCAAGAACAAAUGGAUGUCCUCGCUGAUGAAUCCAACCCCAAAAUCCUUGUUAACACAUUCGAUGCUUUGGAACACGAAGCAUUAAACGCCAUUGAAAAUUUCAACAUGGUAGGCAUCGGACCUUUAAUCCCAUCUUCUUUCUUGAACUCAAAUGACUCCUUGGAUAAUUCCUUGAGAACCGAUCUUUUUCAAUCCGAUUCAAAAGAUUACAUCCAAUGGUUAGACUCCAAACCAAAAUCGGCCGUCGUUUACGUUUCCUUCGGGAGCUAUGCUGUGUUAACGAAGCAACAAGUGGAGGAAAUCGCUCGAGCUUUAAUAUCCAGCCGGCGACCCUUUUUAUGGGUGGUGAGGAACCGGAAAAAUGGAGGCGAAGAAGAGAAAGAAGAAGAUAAACUGACUUGCAGGGAAGAAUUGGAACAGUUUGGGAUGGUGGUUCCAUGGUGUUCGCAAGUGGAAGUAUUGUUUCAUCCAUCGUUGGGUUGCUUCGUGACGCAUUGUGGGUGGAACUCGACGUUGGAGAGCAUGGCGGCCGGUGUACCGGUGGUGGCUUUCCCUCAAUGGACGGAUCAAAGGACUAAUGCGAAGCUGAUUGAAGAUGUGUGGGGGAAUGGGGUGAGAGUGAGUGCUAAUGAAGAAGGGAUGGUGGAACGUGAUGAGAUCGUUAGGUGCUUGGAUUUGGUGAUGGGGGAUGAUAAGAAAGGGAUGGAAGUGAAGAAAAAUGUAGAGAAAUGGAAACGGUUAGCCAGAGAAGCCGCCAUGGAAGGCGGCUCCUUGGAUAUGAAGCUUAAAGCUUUUGUGGAUGAUAUUGCUGAAGGAUAUCGUAAGUAAAAUUAUCACUUUCAAAUCAAUUCACUGUUUCAAUAGUAGUUAUUUAAACAGUUAUUAUCGUACCAUGAAACUUGAUUAGGUUUUGCCUUGUAGUAAACAUGCGAAGGACGACCCACCACACAAGUUUAUGCAGAUAUGGUUUUUUUUUUUUUUUUGUUUAAUUUUGCUACUAGUCUCUAUACUUUAUGAAAGUUAUGGAUUUAGUCUCAAUACUUUAAUUUGACCAUUUUUAGUCCUGCACUUUUCAAAAUGUUCAAUUUUAGUCCCUAUACUUUUAGUCUUUUGAAAUUUUAGUCCUGAACCAAAUAAUAGUAGUUAAAUUAUUUUGUUUAAAUUCAAUUACUAGUCAUGUCCUAUGUGUACAAUUAUAGAUUUAAUAAAUAUAUUUCCUAAUUGAAUCAUUUUAAGUCCCUAUUUUUUUCGAAUUCUAAAAUUUCCGUCUCGACACAAAUGAUAGUCACUAAUCCAUUAACUAAAAUUUCAGUAAGUAAUAUGUGAAAAUAUCAAACAGAAAUGCCAUUACACAUAUGAUAAUAUGUUUGUUGCAUCAAAUUUUGAAAAUAACAGAAUUUAAUGAAUUUAACAAUUAUCGUUUAGUGAAGGCUGAAAUUUUAAAAUUUAAAAAGUAAGAGAAUUAAAAAUGACCAAAUUAAAGUAUCAGUAUUAAAUCUGCAACUUUUGUUAAGUAAGACUAAUAAUAAAAUUUAACCUUAUUUUUUUCUUGAAAGAAAUUGAAAGUGACCAUUUAAGUAUAUAAUAUGUGAUUGGGAUUGGAGAAUAUGAAUGGUGUGAUAGAUUUUGAAUGUAGGAAACAAAAUUUUUUGAAAUGUGGUUGUAGGAUGGAGUGGGUUGGAUUUAUUUGUGUGUGGUCAAUGUAUAACUCUUUGCCUUUAUACUAUAUAAAAGUAUCAUUUUAUCCGUUUAAUAUGUAUAACUAUUUAAAUAUGUAGAAAUGUGAAAAUGUAUUAUAGAAAAGCCUUUAUGUUUAAUUUUUUUUAAAAUUUUAUGUUCUAAAGUCACUAAAUUAUUAGUAAAUUUAUGUUUUGAUUACUCAACUUCAAAAAGUUACAAAAUGGUCAUGAGUUAUUAGAAAAUUUUCAUUUCAGUUGUUCAACUAUUCAAAACUUUUUUUGUUUAAGUCAUUACGCUGUUAAGUUCUUUCUAAGUUCAAUUAAUGAGCUCCAACCGAUGAUUUAACAAUCGUAUGGUGGAUUAGUACUCAUCGACGAGUAGAGGAAAUCCCUUGAGAUUUUUUAUCCAGUCGGCAACCAUUUUCAUGGGUGGUGAGGAACUGGAAAGAUGGAGGCUACGAAGAGAAAGAAAAAGAUAAACUGGCUUGCAGGGAAGAAUUGGAACAGUUUGGGAUGGUGGUUCCAUGGUGUUCGCAAGUGGAAGUAUUGUCUCAUCGUCGUUGGGUUGCUUCGUGACGCAUUGUGGGUGAAACUCGACGUUGGAGAGCAUAGUGGCCAGUGUAUCAAGGGACUAAUGCGAAGCUGAUUGAAGAUGUGGGGGGAAUGGGGUGAGAGUGAGUGCUAAUGAAGAAGGGAUCAUGGAACGUGAUGAGAUUGUUAGGUGCUUGGGUUUGGUGAUAGGGGAUGGGGAGAAAGGGAUGCAAGUGAAGAAGAAUGUUGAGAAAUGGAAAGGGUUAGCGGGGGAGGCCGCCAUGGAAGGCGGUUCCUUGGAUAUCAACCUUAAAGUUUUUGUGGAUGAUGUUGCUCAAGGUUGUUGCAAGUAAAUUUAUCUUUUCAUAUAAUUAUCUACAUUUAUAUCUCGAAUUCUUAAAUCAAGAAAUAAUAUGUUUGAAAACGAUCAAAUUCCUUUUGUUGUAAUAAUAAUAAUAUCAAAUGACCUAAAAUUCGAUGAAAUGUUACAAAUUAAUUUUUAAUUUAUGUUUGUAUUAAAUUUACGCUUAAAUUAAUUUUGGGUUAUGGUGUAAGUUUUUUUUAAAAAUAAUUUUAAUGGUCAAAUUUAAUUAAUAACACCAUCAAUUGGAUUUUAAAUUUUAAGUCAAACAAGAGACAAAAGUUUAAAAAUUAAAAGUAGCGGAUUAAAUGUUAAAAAAAAUUGCAAAAGAGUACAAGAAUUGGGGGUAUACUUAGAAAAAAUAUUAAAAUUUUCUUUUCUCCUCCAAUAGUAGAAUCUAAAGUUACGCACCUUUAUAAAAUUAAAAAAGAGUUAAUUGUCCAAGAUAAAUAUUAAAUAAUAAUAUUUAUAGACUCGAGUACAUGAAAUUUAUUGUUGGUCAUUGAAUUUAUCAUUUAACAAUUACUUUUGUUUUGGCUAUUGAGAAAAUUUUCUAGCCCUUAUAAUAUAUAUAUCUCCAUAUUAUUGGAUGUGUUACUUUUUAUUAAAUUACAUUGCCUAAGGUUGCUUAUUGCGAUUAUGGUAAUUUGCUGCAUCAUCCCCUGACUAAUUCUUCUCAUUUUUAGUGUUAGCAUUCUUCUGCUUAAAAUCUGGGUCUCAUGUUGCUUUUUGAGCAUCACUAUACCAUUCUCCUCUUUAACCCACCGAAAAAUCUAGUAGGAGCUUUUGCUUCCGAUUCUGGAGAAGUUUCCUCCCUCAAAAGUACCCUAUCGGCUUCAGGAGAUGCUGCCUCAUCAAAAGUGUAAUAGCCCGAAUUUGGGCCUAGUCGAAACAGUAGUUUCGGGACCACAAAUGUAAUAUUUCAAAAAUUUCUAUAGUAAGAUAUUAUCCUUGGUAUAGUAAAAUAAGGAAAUAAAGUAAAAAAAAAGGGGGAAAUUUUGAGUUAUGUCAACAUUGAGAAGUAUGACAUAUUAAUGCAAUAAAGGAUUAAAUCGCAAAAGUGAGAAAAGUAUUGAGGGAUUAAAGUGUAAAUAUGAAAAAGUUGAAGGACCAAAGGUCUAAAUAUUUUAAGGGUGGAAUGAUCUAGAAACUAAGGAAAAUGGAUGAAUUAGGACCAAAUUGAAUAAGAUAAGAAUUAUGAGGGACUAAAUCGUAAUUUUACCAAAUUAAGUGUGACUCAAUGAUGGAAUUUUAAAAGAUUAUGAAGGGCAAAAUGGUCAAUUAGAAGAGAGAGAAAUCUAGAAGGCAAUGAUGAUGUUGGUGAUAUUUUAGAUUAAUUAAUUAAAUAAAUAUUAGUUCAUUAAUAUUUUAAUAUGAUUUUUAAAUGAUAUUUUAUUAAUUUAUUAUUAUUCUAUUUAGUAUAUAUAUGAAAGGAAAGAUGAGGAAUUAUCAUCUUCUUCCCCAUGCAACCAACGUAUGAAGAGGAAAGAAAGAAAGAAACUUUCUUUUCUUUACAAUUUGGUCCUUUUAUAAAAAAUUCACCAUUUUCGCUUAGAAAUUAAAAGAAUUUCCAUAUCCAUCAAGAGAGAAAGAUAACAAGGAGACUAUGGGGAGCUAGAAUAUCAAGUUAGAUUCAAGAAAUAGAAGCUGGAGGAGGGAGAAAAUCAAGUUAAAGAUUGAAAUCAAUUGAGCAAGGUAAGAAUAUCAAGAUUUCAAUAUAUUUUUGAGUUUGAUAUUAUUGAAAAGGCAUGAAAUUGAUGUUAAUGUAGAGUUUUAUUAUAUAAGGUUUUAUGUUCUUGGUAUGUUAGUGAAGAGAAAAUAAGAGAAAGUGAUGAGAAAUAGUGUAGAGAAAGAAAAUAAGAGUGUUAUAAACUUAGUAAUCAAUAUUUUACACUAAAACAGUUUGGACAGCAGCAGUAGGUUAACUUUGAAAAAUCCCCAAAAAUUGUGGGAAUUGAAUUAGAAGAUGAAUAAAAUAUGAAAUUAAAGCUUAUUGAGUCUAGUUUCUCAUAAAAGAAAUGGUGUAAGCAAUAGAAUUUUAAAUCAUGAUAUAUAAUAAAUUUUGUGAGACAAUAUCAGAAUGAUUUUGGGUUCCCCUGUUCUAACUUUGGAAAAUCAUAAAAAAUUGAAGAAAAAUAAUUAUGAGUUAUAAUUUAUAUGAUUAGAAUCCUUAAUAAAUCUAUUUUCAAAUUAAAUAAACAUAAAAAUCAUCCAAAUUCUGUACAAUUAGAUAAUUCAUUUUUAGUGAAGAGUGGUCGGAACUGUCAGAUAGAAAAAUAGGGGAAACUUUAAAGAAUAAACUGUACUAUUUGGAUGAACCAAAAAUUCUGAAAAUUUUAUGGCAAUAAGAUAUAUGAGUCUAGUUUCAGGGAAAAUUAAUGGAUCUUAAUUUGGAUUUCUAUAGCUCAAGAUAUAAAUGAUUUAGUAACUAUGACUCAAAUGGACAGCUUUGAAUAAAUUUACAAGAAAAUAGUGAAAUUAUAGAUAAUGUUACUUAUAAGCAUGUUAUGUAAAUUAAGGAUGUGGAAUGGAGAGUGUACAAGCCCAAUUUUUGACCCAGGGCCCAAUAACAAAUUUUAACCUAAAAAAACUACCCAGGCCCAACUAGCCUAACCCAAUCAGCCCAAAACAUAAACACCUAGCAGAAACCCUAGCCCCCUGUUGUGCCGCACCUGCUCCUGGCCGCCUCACCUGCUCCGCCGUUCACCUGCUUUCUGCCAUUGCCCAACUGCCCACCUGCAAACGAGUAAAGAAAGCAGCAACAACAACAAUGAAAAGAGGAGAAAUGACAGUGGUGUAAAAAAAAAAUGGGUACACAAAUGGGUAUAUAAAAAAGGGCGGGGAUCACCGAAAGAGGGUCUUUUCCUUUUCUUUUGUAAUUUUUUCACAACACAACAGUUAAUGAAAAAAGGCAGAGAAAACAUUUAAAGGUGGAUUCAGACUUUUUAUUCUUUUUUUUGUUUGUUUUUAUGUUUGCUUGUUUAUAUAUAUAUACGAAUCUAUCUCAACAAAAACGAAAAUAAAAAAGAGAAAGAGAGAAACUCACCGGGGGGCUUUGAAAACCCGUCAUCGCGCUUCGCCGGCCGUCGAUCUGGUGGCCGUGCGGCGGAUGUGCGAACGGUGGCAGCUAAGGAGGGCUUUUAAAAAAAACCCUAACAGAGAAAAAGCUAGAGGCUUUUUUGUUUUUUUUUAUCUGCUAUUACAAAGUGUAUUUUUUAGGGGAAAUUUUAAUUUAAAUAGGAUCAGCUAAACGGCGCCGUUUUGGGUGGGAAAACCCCCGCGCGCGACCCGACCCGCGUCUCAGGAUCCACGUGUUUUGAUGAUUGGGUUAUUUACCCAUUUGGCCCUUCCGCCCUUUUGGGGUGUUUCAAUCUAGUCCUAUUUACAUUUUUAGAUUUUAUAAUUUUCGCCCAAAUUAUUUUUAGCGUUUUUGAUUUAGUCUUGCACUCAUAGAAUGGACACGUGUCCUAAUAAUUGGGAUAUUUUCCGUUUUGGCCCUCCGUCCUUUCGCGCGAGUCACAUUUUGGUCCUUUUCGUCCUUUUUAUUCCAAAUUCGCCCGGUAUUUCCUUUUUUUAUUUUAUUUCGAUUUAGCCCUUUUUUAGUCGCUUUAUUAUUUUGUUUAUUUUAUUAUUAUUAUUAUUAUUAUUAUUAUUUACUAUUAUUAUCUUUACUAUUAUUGUUAGUAUUAUUACUACUAUUAUUAUUACUAUCAUUAUAUUUACACCUAUAUUUACUUAUAUAAAUCUUAGAUAAUAGGUGAUAUAUUAUAUUAUUAUAAAAUUGCGUAUAUACGUACAUGUAUAUGUAUUCUUUUAACUAAUUUUAUAUAUACAUACAAAAUCAUAUUUUCGUAUAUUUUUUAAUUUGUAUAUACAUAUACUUAUAUCUAUAUUUUCUAAUUUUUAUAAAUAUAUUUAUAUGUACAUACUUAUAUUUUUUAUAUACUUUCUAAUUCGUAUAUACCUAUUUACAUCUAUAUUUUUAAUAUAUUUUAAACAUAUAUAUAAAUAUCACUAUUUACUUUUUUAUUUUUAUUUUUUAUUAUUAUUUUCAAAUUUUGAUGUAUACUUACAUAUAUAUAUCUUUACAUUUUUAUAAUUUUAUUCAUUUAUUUAUUUACAUUUUCAUUAUUAUUUUGAACGAAUGCUUUAAUUUUAUUUGCUUGUAUACAUUGCUAUUUCGUAUGUUAUUGGUCUGUACCUUUUAUUUUUCUUAUUUUCGUUGCUAUUACUUGCAUUGUUUUUACAUCAUCGUAUUCAUAUUUAUUUAGUUACGCAUAUUAACAUCGUAUCUUAUUUUUACUGUUUCGUGAAAAAAAUAUUUCAUUCAAUGUAUGAAUUAUAACUUUUUGAGUAAACAAAAUUUCGUGUUUAGAUUUGAGAAAGUCGUACCCUAACUUACUGGGUUUCGACUUUCACAACAAAUCUAAAGACACGAAUCUUUUUAAACUCAAAUUUUAAAUGAUCUCGGGAUUAAAAAUCGCGUCCUAACUUACUGGUCGUGAUCUCAUUUUCAAAUCCGAGAUGGCUAAACCUAUCUUUUAAAUAAGCAUUUUUAUUCGCGUAUCGAGAACUCGAGACGUUGUAUCCUAACUCACUGGAUAUGAUGUCUUUUCUCGAUUAACGUGAAAUAUGCCACUUUUUCCAAGAUUUUCAACUUUUUAAUACAAAGAUCAUAUUUUUAAAAUUCUUUUAAAUUAUCAAUUUUCGACAUUAAGACAUUAAGUAAUCAACUAGGUACCAAUUUUGGGCGUAUCGAGGGUGCUAAUCCUUCCUCGUGCGUAACCGACUCCCGAACCCGUUUUCUAAAUUUCGUGGACCAAAACCGUUGUUUUAAUAAAAUCAAACCGUUUAUUAAAAACAACCCCUCUUCGAGGUGAUCCAAUCGCACCUCAUAAAAAAAAGAGGAUUGGUGGCGACUCCCGUUUCUUUUUUCAAAACCCAAGUCAACCCCGUUUUUCAUCCAAAAAAUGGUGUCAACAGCUUGGCGACUCCACUGGGGACACAGAUAAGAGGGUCAAGCCACGUGGUGAUUACUUUUUGUCUUUUGUCAAAAAUUGAAAAUUCGGUUUAAAAUUACGAUCCUUUCAUCGCAUUUUAUCUGUCUUUAUCAUAAUCAUCACCAUUAGGGUUUAUAUUUGCUCUGUUUGUUUAAAUUUUGGUAUCUUUCCGCAUUUCAUUGCAUGACCGUUGGUCACACCUUUAAGUGGGAGUGAGAAGCUACGCCUUCGUGAGGUUUUCACCUCCGCAUGGGAUAGUGAAUCGCUUUCGGGAUAUAUCCGUACCUAUGUCUUCGUGAGAUUUUCAUCUCCGCAUGGCCAUAGAGAAAUGUAUCCCCCUGAAUCGAACUUGGUCCGUAUGAGCCUAUAAUGGGUGAGGAUCGAGGAAUUUGCUGGUUCAGGUACCCUACUUUAGAACCAAACCACAUGUAAUGAGCCAUAGGAACCGACCUAGGUAGAGCUACUCCAAAUUUUUAGUGCUUACCUAAAUGAAUGUUGUAUUUAUUUGUCGCUUAUUUUAAAUCUUAUUCUGUGUUUAAUGUUAAUUUACUUUGUUUGUGAUUGCAUGGCAUCUUCAUUCUAAAAGAGGUGUCGAUUUACGUUCAGUUUCUUGGUAGAAAGCUUAUCAUGGAAAAGGGGUUUGUUGAUAAAGUAGAGGAUAAUGCGGCUGUGCAAAUAUGGGCUGAAACGACACAACGAGAGAAAGGCGAUAGUCUUACCGAAGGGUACGUGUCAGAAUUGUGGGAUUUUACCCGUAUCAGUGUAAUCCAGAAUGACCUUCGAGAAAUGAAAGAAGUCUGGGAUCAAUGGGAUGUCGAGGCCAAGCAGCUGUUCUAUUGUAACUACGGUGACCUACCUUAUCUGCUUAGUGUCAAAGUGGACAAGUAUUUAUUCCGAGCCCUUGCUCAGUUUUGGAAUCCUGCCUACAGUUGUUUCACUUUUGGGAAGGUAGAUUUGACGCCUACUGUGGAGGAGUAUACGACCUUGCUUCGGUGUCCAAAGAUUCAAGUCGACAAGGCUUAUUCCAAAGCUGCUUGUGUCCCUCCGUUGUUAAAGAAAUUAAUGAACAUCACUGGGAUGAGCGAGCAGUGGGUCGCUGUCCGGAUCCAACAGAAGAGCGACAGUAAAUGUGUUCCUUGGAAAAGUUUGCGAGAUUUGGUGCUUGUACAUCCUGACUUAAAGAAAAGGGUCGAUAUCUUCGCUUUAGGUAUCUAUGGACUAGUGGUUUUCCCCAAAGCUUUAGGACACAUAGACGAGGCUGUAUCUGAUUUGUUUGAUCGGCUUAGUAAAGGGGUUACACCGGUUCCGGCAAUACUCGCUGAAACUUUUAGAUCCUUGAAUGCGUGUCGAAAAGCAGGGGAGGGAAGGUUUAUUGGAUGCGCACAGCUCUUAUUGGCAUGGUUCCAUAGCCACUUCUGGAAAGUCGAAAAGGUCUCUUAUCGGGUAUUCUCCGAUAGCUACUCCCCUCUAGGAGAAUUGGUGGCCACGCCAAGACGGGAUGAUAUUUCAGAAGAAAAAUGGAUAGAGAUACUCCAGAAUCUCCAAGAUGAAGAUAUUGAAUGGAGGGCUCCUUGGUUAAUUCCUGAUGAGAUAUUGUACCGAUGUGGAGAUUUUGACUGGGUUCCGCUGCUCGGGAUAUGGGGAGCUAUCGGAUAUGCUCCUCUACUCGUAUCAAAACAGUAUAGAUCACGACAAUUCAUACCAGCAACCCAGGGGUUAGCUUAUAGUGAUUUUUCCUAUAGGGAGGACAAUUACAAGAAGAAGGUUCGAGAAAUAUCUAGUGCCUGGAACCAGACUCGUCGAAUGAAGAUCUUAGCCGUGGGUCCGACAAUUACCCCCGAGUAUGGUCAGUGGCGUGAUCAAAGGAUCAACGACAACAUCCCGGCGUCAAAUCCAGAAACUGCUCGAUCUUUGGAGGAACACUUACAAGUUUUGCCUUCUGAGAUAGAAAUCAUCAAACAAGAAUUCGAAAAAAGGAGUUUAGAAUUGGGGAAGAAGAUAGAACAACUAGAGGAAGAAAAAAUGCAGUUAGGACUGGAUGUGGACAUUCAAAGAUUAGAGGCCAACAAAUUGAGAAAAGGAAAGAACAAAGCAGAAGAAGAUUUGGACAGCCUGAAGACAGAUUACAAGAAGUUGCGUAGGUCGGUAAGAGCUGCUGGCUUGGGUAAAACGCCAGAACAAUGGCGACAAGAAAUUCAGGAGGAAAAGACGAAAGCUAAUCAAUGGGAAAAGAAAUUUCAGGAUACUCGGGCUCGAGAGGUCGCCUUGGGAAAGAGUCUACUAGUUUGCCAAGACGAGAAGACGGAGUUGAAGGUCCGGAUAACCGAACUAGAAAGAUCGCUUCACCAGUACUGUAAUCGUAAUGCUACGGUUGAAUUAAGGGCGAGCUUAGACAAAAUUGAAUAAUUAAAAAGACAAAUAGGAGGGCUAGAGAACGCAUUGCAAAAUAGUGAAAUCCGGAUAGAGCUUCUGGAAGAAAGUAAUGAGCAGUGGCAAAGACAAUUCCGUCGGUCUCAAGAGCAGAUUGGAGAAAGAGAUUAUAUUAUGGGAGAGGCGGUGAGUCAAGUGCGCGAAGUAGCUGAUCAUCUGUAAACUCUAGCGGUUCAGGCUGAUCUAUUAAGUUUGAAGUAUGAGUCAGAGUCGGACAGGGGCCGAGAAUUAGCUUGACUUCUUAGAAAGGUUAAGGCUUUGAGUGUGAGGGCAAAGCCAUAUAUGUAGUCUAUUUUAUGUAAAAAAACUCUUUAUCUAGUAAAGUUUUCUAAUGAAGUUGAAUUAGAAUCAGUGCCUCUUUUUCUUUGCAUCCUUUUCAUGCAUUGCAUCACAUCACAUGCAUUAAUGACCAUUAAAAACCUAAUCGAAUAAAAUCAUUUCAGUUAACCUGGAAAACCAACAAAGUUACGGCACCCGAGCUAAGACAAAAAUUAUGGACCAAAGGUUGGAGAAGCUAGAGCGACUUCAAAGAGAAAUGCAAGACCAGUUGCAGGCGCAAAUGAAAGAGCAAAUAGAAAAGAUUCAGCGUGACAUGGUGCAAAAGAUGGAGGAGUCCCAAAAUGAUCUGGUGGCUAAGAUGACGCAACUAUUGAAGGGAGUAGAUAAGGGUAAAGGUCCUGUGAUUGUUAGUGAAGAAGAAAACAAUGGUGAACCACUUUAUCCUCCAGGUUUCACGCCUCCGCAUGCGCAAGUACAGACUGAGCUGCAUCCGCGGAGACCCUCUGUGUCGGUUAGGCCCCAGCAGUUCCAAGGCGAUGCUUCAAUCCCAAUGAAUUUUCAACCCGGAGCGGGCCUUAAUCCCGGUGAUAGCCCGAAUAAUAUUGCUGUCCCAGAUCUUGACGAGAUGGUUGAAAAGGAUAAGGCGAAGGAGGAAUUUCCAAAACAAUUUGAGGAGAAAUGGAAAUGGAUAGAAGAGAAGUUUAGGGCAAUAGAAAGCAUCGAAAGCUAUGGAAUAGAUGCAAAGGAUCUAAGCUUGGUUCCGGACUUGGUGCUCCCUUACAAAUUUAAGAUGCCGGAAUUUGAGAAAUACAACGGGACUAGUUGCCCAGGAUCCCAUAUUACUAUGUUUUGUAGAAGAAUGACGGGGCAUAUUAAUAAUGAUCAAUUAUUAAUACAUUGCUUUCAGGAAAGUCUUACGGGAGCGGCGUCAAAGUGGUACAAUCAGCUGAGCCGAGCUAAAAUUGCUACUUGGAGGGAUUUAGCACAGGCUUUCCUGAGACAAUACAAUCAUGUCUCAGAAAUGAUGCCUGACAGGAUAACUCUGCAAAAUUUAGAGAAGAAAUCGAACGAAAGCUUCAGACAAUAUGCGCAGAGGUGGCGAGAGGUGGCAGUUCAGGUGCAACCACCGCUUUUGGAAAAAAAGAUGACGACGCUUUUUAUUAAUACUUUGAAAGCCCCGUUCAUCACUCACAUGUUGGGAAGCGCUUCAAAAAAUUUCUCGGAUAUAAUCAUGAAUGGUGAAAUGAUUGAGCAUGCCAUUAAAAGUGGAAAAAUAGAUGGAGGAGAAAAUAAUAGGAGGGCACCCUUGAGGAAAAGAUAAAAUGAAGUGAAUAAUGUGAAUGCUUAUGGUAGGUCAAUUACCGUGAAUCAACCAAAGAAAGUGGUUGCUAAUCAACAGGGAUCAUCAAGACAAGAGUCGGGAGCUAGGUAAACUACUGAAAAGCCCCAAUUCACGCCAAUCCCGAUGUCAUACAAAGAGUUGUAUCAGACUUUAUUCGAUGCACAUGUUGUUGCUCCUCGUUACUUGAGUCCUCUACAACCCCCGUAUCCAAAAUGGUAUGAUAUGAACGCGCAAUGUGAUUAUCAUGUGGGAAUUUCUGGGCACUCGAUAGAAAAUUGUACUGCCUUCAAGAAGGUAGUAGAAGGACUUAUCAAUUUAGGUGUCGUCAAACUUGACGACUCACCUAAUGCAAAGAAUCCGUUACCUAAUCACGCAGAUAAGGGGGUGAAUAUGGUUAGCGAAGAUACGGGAGAAGAAGUCAAGACUGACAUUGCUGAAGUAAAAACUCCAUUGAAACGGGUCUGGAAAGAAAUGGCGAAAAGAGGUUUGGUUAUUUCAGAUUCUGAGGAAGGGCAUGAGAUGGGAAAUUAUUGUGAAUUUCACCAUAAAACAGGGCACGAAAUCCAAGAAUGUGAAGGAUUUAAGGCUUUGGUUCAAAGCAUGAUGGAUAACAAGGAAAUGAGGUUUUACGAAGAUGCGAAAGAAAUGAGGAGCAUAUGCGCGACAGAGUUGGGAACAAAGGCUCCAAAAAUAAAUCAUCCUGUGGUCAUUAUCUCACGCCCUAAGGGUAAUGAGGUUAGGGCUCAGGUAACACCGAAAAUUGUAAUCCAGAAACCAUCAAAUUUCUCUUAUAGGGAUAACAAAAUGGUGCCGUGGAAUUACGGGUGUAAUGUGACCAUUUUGGGAAAAGAAGCAGAAAGAAAUCAGGAAAUAGGUUCUUACACGCGUAAUGGAAAAAGAUGUGACGCUCAAGCAGAGUCGUCCAGGGAAGAGAAUUGGAAGAAAGAACAGAGGAAAGGGAAAGCAGUAGAAGUUGAACCAUUGGUAAAUGAACCAAUAAAAGAAGAGGAGGCAAAGGAGUUUUUGAAGUUUUUAAAACACAGUGAAUACAAUGUUGUGGAGCAACUGCACAAACAGCCAGCCCGCAUUUCUGUAUUAGCUUUACUCUUAAACUCAGAAGUACAUCGGAAUGCACUAUUAAAGGUGCUAAACGAAACAUAUGUGGCUGACGAUAUUUCGGUAAACAAGCUGGAUCGACUGAUCAACAAUAUUGGUGCUGACAAUUUUAUCUUCUUCAGUGAUGAUGAAAUACCAUCCGGAGGAAGAGGUUCUACUAAAGCCCUGCAUGUUACUGUCCGAUGCAAAGGGUACACACUCCCGGGGGCCUUGGUUGAUAAUGGAUCUGCACUAAAUGUAUUGCCUUUGUCCACUCUUAGUCGAUUACCAAUAGACAGUUCGCACAUGAAAGCAUGCCAGAGCAUAGUAAGGGCAUUUGAUGGAACAAAAAAGGAGGUUAUGGGGAGAAUUGAGGUACCAUUAAGGAUUGGCCCAGUCACUUAUGAGGUGGAUUUCUUGGUAAUGGAUAUUAAACCCUCCUACAACUGUCUAUUGGGGAGACCGUGGAUACACUCAGCAGGGGCAGUACCUUCAUCAUUACAUCAGAAGGUGAAGUUGGUAUCGGAGGAUCGGUUGGUAACAAUAGAUGCAGAGGAGGAUAUUAUCGCAAUGAUGACUAGCGAUGCACCUUAUGUGGACAUCAACGAUGAGACACUAGAAUGUUCUUUUCGGUCGUUAGAAUUUGUGAACGCGAUGUUUAUUGCGGAGGGAAAUAGAAUUCCAGUACCGAAAAUAUCCAGGACCACUGAGAUGGGAUUGCGAUUGAUGGUAGGAAGAUGAGCCUUACCCGGGAAAGGAUUGGGAAAAUAUCUUCAGGGAAGGAUUGAGGCACCAAUGCCGAAGGAAAAGUUUGAUAGAUUUGGUUUAAGGUACAAGCCAGACAUGAAGCAGAAGAAGAAAGAAGUAGAGAAGAGACAAGAGAGAAGAAGGGCGCGUUUGAAUGGACAUGAAGCUAAGUGUGAGCCUUUAACCUUUCCCCACAUAUCUACAUCUUUUGUGUCGGGAGGAUUUAUUCAUUCUGAAUGUGGAGUGUCCGGUAGCGGCAUGGGAGGAAUGUUGGAAAACGUUUAUACUAACGCCAUAGAAGCAACGGAAAGGAGGGCUUUGUUGGAGAUCUGCCCUUAUGAGCCUGGAAGCGAGCUAAACAAUUGGACUGCUGAAGAAAUCCCUGUAGUCUUUAGGGCUUAUUCAGAGUAAUGCUCAAAACAUUCCUGUUGUUUGUUGGCCUAGAAACGAUAUGAAAUCUUUUGUGAAAUAGGCAUUGGGCCUAAAUAUCAUUAUUUUAAUGAAAUACGUGUCUACGUUCAUCUCGAUCAGUCACUUUUUUCUUUUAUAUUUUUCAUUUGGUUGAUUGUCUUACAAAUAAUUCUUUCAUUUAUAAUUCUUUUGCACAAACAUAUUCAUAAAUUUAUAUUCUUAGUAUAUUCUUUGAUCUGCCCUCAUAGGUCUUCAGAUAUCAAUGACAUGAGUGACGCUGCCUCAAACGCGGAGCCUAUUUUUGAGCAAGAAGUGUGUUCAGAGGGAUCCCACGACUUUGAAAAUGACGAAGAUUAUGAUGCAUCUCCGGACUUGUUAAGAAUGAUGGAACAAGAGGAUAAGCAUAUCCUACCUCAUAGGGAAUCGUUAGAAAUAGUGAGCCUAGAGGAUGGAAAUGAGGUGAAAAUUGGAACUGAAAUCACCGCAAAGACAAGGCAAGACCUCAUUAAUUUGCUCCGAGAGUUCAAGGAUGUUUUCGCGUGGUCGUACCAAGAUAUGCCUGGGCUAAGUACUAACAUUGUGGUGCAUCGUCUGCCCAUAAAGGAGGAUUGUAAACCCGUUCAACAGAAGCUUAGGAGAAUGAGACCUGACAUUGUGUUGAAAAUAAGAGAAGAAGUCAAAAGACAAUUCGACGCUAGUUUCUUACAAGAGGUCAAGUAUUCGGAUUGGGUAGCCAACAUCGUCCCUGUUCCCAAAAAAGAUGGAAAGGUACGAAUGUGUGUGGAUUAUAGGGAUUUAAACAAGGCUAGUCCAAAGGACAACUUUCCACUGCCUCACAUUGAUACUUUGGUAGAUAACACGGCGGGCUAUUCAUUGUUUUCUUUCAUGGACGAUUUCUCUGGAUACAAUCAAAUAAAGAUGCAUCCUGGAGACAUGAGGAAAACCACAUUCAUUACCUUAUGGGGAACAUUCUGUUACAAGGUAAUGCCCUUCGGAUUGAAGAAUGCGGGAGCAACGUAUCAAAGAGCUAUGGUGACUUUGUUUCACGACAUGAUGCACAAGGAGAUCGAAGUCUAUGUUGACGAUAUGAUCGCGAAGUCUAGAACGGAAGAAGAGCAUGUUCAGGUCUUGAAAAGGUUAUUUUUGAGAUUAAAGAAAUUUCAGCUCAAGCUUAACCCGGCCAAAUGCACGUUUGGAGCCAGAUCAGGGAAGUUAUUAGGCUUCAUAGUUAGCAAAAAGGGGAUCGAGGUUGACCCAGACAAAGUAAAGGAAAUACGAGAUUUACCUCCCCCGCGCACUCAGAAGGAGGUUCGAGGUUUCCUAGGGAGGCUGAAUUACAUUGCUCGGUUCAUCUCACAACUGACAGAGAAAUGUGAUCCAGUAUUCCGGCUCUUAAAGAAACAUAAUCCGGGCGAAUGGAAUGAAGAGUGUCAGAGGGCUUUCGAUAAGAUAAAGCAGUACUUGGCUAAUACUCUAGUCUUAUCACCUCCAAGUCCAGAUAGGCUAUUGAUAUUGUAUCUAACAGUGUUGGAGAAUUCCAUGGGAUGCGUAUUGGGCCAACAUGAUGAGACGGGAAAGAAAGAAAGGGCAAUAUACUAUCUCGGUAAGAAAUUUACCGAUUGCGAAAUGAGGUACUCAUCAAUUGAGAAGUUGUGUUGUGCUCUAAUCUGGGCAACCCGAAGACUGAGGCAGUAUAUGUUGUAUCACACAACUUGGUUGAUUUCAAAGUUAGAUCCUUUAAAAUAUAUGAUGGAAUCGACUGCUUUGAACGGGAGAAUGGCUAGAUGGCAGAUCUUGCUCUCAGAAUUUGAUAUAGUAUAUGUCAGUCAGAAGGCCAUAAAGGGAAGUGCAAUAGCCGAUUUCCUAGCUAGUAGAGCCUUGGAGGACUAUGAAUCUUUGAACUUCGAUUUUCCAAACGAGGACUUGAUGUAUGUGGCGAAUACUGAAGAAAAUCCUCAAAUGGAUCACGUAUGGAAGUUAAAUUUUGAUGGAGCUUCAAAUGCUACGGGUAAUGGAGUUGGGGCAGUUUUGGUAUCCCCAAGUGGAGAUCAUUAUCCUGUUGCUAGCAAGUUGGACUUCGAUUGUACAAAUAACAUGGCAGAAUAUGAAGCAUGUAUUAUGGGCAUUCGUGCAGCCAUUGAACGGAACAUCAAAGUACUGAGAGUAUACGGGGAUUCAGCGUUGGUGAUAUACCAACUCAAAGGGGAGUGGGAGACUAGAGAUCCUAAGCUGAUCGGUUAUAGAAAACUAGUUCUUGAAUUGGCUGAGGAGUUUGACGAUAUCACCUUCUAUUACCUCCCACGGGAGGAAAACCAAAUGGCUGAUGCAUUAGCUACUCUAGCUUCGAUGAUUCAGGUGAAUAGACUUGAGGCAAUGAGGCCUGUUCAGAUGAGUAUCUCUGAGACCCCGGCUAAUUGCUGCAAUAUUGAGGAGGAGGGAAAAGAUGAUUGUCCUUGGUAUCGGAGUAUCUUACAAUAUGUGAAGAAUCGGGAAUACCCUGAUCAAGCGACAGAGAAUGACAAAAGAACUCUGAGAAAGAGCAGAUCGAAGACACUAUCCUAUCUCCCUGAAGUUACAGUGGAGCGGAUUAAAAUAAAGGAUCUUAUCUCUCUGAGGUUACAGCAGAGUAGAUCGCAUCAAGUCUUAUUUCCCUGAAGAUGCAGUGGAACAGACUGAAAACAAUAAGGCGUGUCUCCUUAAAGUUGUAGCGGAGCGGACAGAAGAUAGUGAUUCUUAUCAUGUCUAAUCUUAUUCCCCUAAAGUUGUAGUAGAAUAGAUGGAAGCGAAGUCACAAACCUUGUCUCUCUGAAGUUGCAGUAAAGCAGGUUGAAGUCACGAAUCUUAUCCCCCUGAAGUUGUAGUGGGGCAAGUUGAAGAUAUGAGUCCGAUCUCCCCGAAGUUGCAGUGGAGCGGGUCAAAAUGAUGGACCUUACCCCCUGAAGCUACAAUAGAGUGGAUUGAAGCUACAAGUUUUGUCUUUUGGAAGUUACAGUGGAGUGGGUCGACGCAACAAGACACAGUGGACUAGAAUAAAGUUACUUGAAAAGAAGCGUCAAGAGAAGUCAAUACUCGGCAAAGACUGGACAAAAAUUGGUCUUUCUUAGUCUUUGCUCUGUUAUCGUUACACGACAACGAGCAAAGAGGGGCAGCUGUACAAGCCCAAUUUUUGACCCAGGGCCCAAUAACAAAUUUUAACCUAAAAAAACUACCCAGGCCCAACUAGCCUAACCCAAUCAGCCCAAAACAUAAACACCUAGCAGAAACCCUAGCCCCCUGUUGUGCCGCACCUGCUCCUGGCCGCCUCACCUGCUCCGCCGUUCACCUGCUUUCUGCCAUUGCCCAACUGCCCACCUGCAAACGAGUAAAGAAAGCAGCAACAACAACAAUGAAAAGAGGAGAAAUGACAGUGGUGUAAAAAAAAAUGGGUACACAAAUGGGUAUAUAAAAAAGGGCGGGGAUCACCGAAAGAGGGUCUUUUCCUUUUCUUUUGUAAUUUUUUCACAACACAACAGUUAAUGAAAAAAGGCAGAGAAAACAUUUAAAGGUGGAUUCAGACUUUUUAUUCUUUUUUUUGUUUGUUUUUAUGUUUGCUUGUUUAUAUAUAUACGAAUCUAUCUCAACAAAAACGAAAAUAAAAAAGAGAAAGAGAGAAACUCACCGGGGGGCUUUGAAAACCCGUCAUCGCACUUCGCCGGCCGUCGAUCUGGUGGCCGUGCGGCGGAUGUGCGAACGGUGGCAGCUAAGGAGGGCUUUUAAAAAAAACCCUAACAGAGAAAAAGCUAGAGGCUUUUUUUUUUUAUCUUCUAUUACAAAGUGUAUUUUUUAGGGGAAAUUUUAAUUUAAAUAGGAUCAGCUAAACGGCGCCGUUUUGGGUGGGAAAACCCCCGCGCGCGACCCGACCCGCGUCUCAGGAUCCACGUGUUUUGAUGAUUGGGUUAUUUACCCAUUUGGCCCUUCCGCCCUUUUGGGGUGUUUCAAUCUAGUCCUAUUUACAUUUUUAGAUUUUAUAAUUUUCGCCCAAAUUAUUUUUAGCGUUUUUGAUUUAGUCUUGCACUCAUAGAAUGGACACGUGUCCUAAUAAUUGGGAUAUUUUCCGUUUUGGCCCUCCGUCCUUUCGCGCGAGUCACAUUUUGGUCCUUUUCGUCCUUUUUAUUCCAAAUUCGCCCGGUAUUUCCUUUUUUUAUUUUAUUUCGAUUUAGCCCUUUUUUAGUCGCUUUAUUAUUUUGUUUAUUUUAUUAUUAUUAUUAUUAUUAUUAUUAUUAUUUACUAUUAUUAUCUUUACUAUUAUUGUUAGUAUUAUUACUACUAUUAUUAUUACUAUCAUUAUAUUUACACCUAUAUUUACUUAUAUAAAUCUUAGAUAAUAGGUGAUAUAUUAUAUUAUUAUAAAAUUGCGUAUAUACGUACAUGUAUAUGUAUUCUUUUAACUUAUUUAAUAUAUACAUACAAAAUCAUAUUUUCGUAUAUUUUUUAAUUUGUAUAUACAUAUACUUAUAUCUAUAUUUUCUAAUUUUUAUAAAUAUAUUUAUAUGUACAUACUUAUAUUUUUUAUAUACUUUCUAAUUCGUAUAUACCUAUUUACAUCUAUAUUUUUAAUAUAUUUUAAACAUAUAUAUAAAUAUCACUAUUUACUUUUUUAUUUUUAUUUUUUAUUAUUAUUUUCAAAUUUUGAUGUAUACUUACAUAUAUAUAUCUUUACAUUUUUAUAAUUUUAUUCAUUUAUUUAUUUACAUUUUCAUUAUUAUUUUGAACGAAUGCUUUAAUUUUAUUUGCUUGUAUACAUUGCUAUUUCGUAUGUUAUUGGUCUGUACCUUUUAUUUUUCUUAUUUUCGUUGCUAUUACUUGCAUUGUUUUUACAUCAUCGUAUUCAUAUUUAUUUAGUUACGCAUAUUAACAUCGUAUCUUAUUUUUACUGUUUCGUGAAAAAAAUAUUUCAUUCAAUGUAUGAAUUAUAACUUUUUGAGUAAACAAAAUUUCGUGUUUAGAUUUGAGAAAGUCGUACCCUAACUUACUGGGUUUCGACUUUCACAACAAAUCUAAAGACACGAAUCUUUUUAAACUCAAAUUUUAAAUGAUCUCGGGAUUAAAAAUCGCGUCCUAACUUACUGGUCGUGAUCUCAUUUUCAAAUCCGAGAUGGCUAAACCUAUCUUUUAAAUAAGCAUUUUUAUUCGCGUAUCGAGAACUCGAGACGUUGUAUCCUAACUCACUGGAUAUGAUGUCUUUUCUCGAUUAACGUGAAAUAUGCCACUUUUUCCAAGAUUUUCAACUUUUUAAUACAAAGAUCAUAUUUUUAAAAUUCUUUUAAAUUCUCAAUUUUCGACAUUAAGACAUUAAGUAAUCAACUAGGUACCAAUUUUGGGCGUAUCGAGGGUGCUAAUCCUUCCUCGUGCGUAACCGACUCCCGAACCCGUUUUCUAAAUUUCGUGGACCAAAACCGUUGUUUUAAUAAAAUCAAACCGUUUAUUAAAAACAACCCCUCUUCGAGGUGAUCCAAUCGCACCUCAUAAAAAAAAAAGAGGAUUGGUGGCGACUCCCGUUUCUUUUUUCAAAACCCAAGUCAACCCCGUUUUUCAUCCAAAAAAUGGUGUCAACAGAGAGGAGGAGGAAAAUAAAUUUAUGAAUAUUAUGCUCGCAUGGAUUUGCAUUUCAAAUGGUUAAUUUGCAUGAUUUGGGCUCGAGGACUAAAUUGAAUAAAAGUAAAACUUUAGGGGUAAUUUUGGAAAAAUGUCAAAAAAUGACUAAAUUCCAUGAAAUGAAUUGUUUUAUUAUUUAAAUUACUAAAUUGAAUGAAAUAUUAAUUUAGAUCAAUAUUGGGUGGAAAUUCGUGAAAAAUAGAAAUUUUUUAAAAUGUCCCUGAAUUUUGGUAUUUCUGCAAUUUAGCCUGGUAAGUUCUUAUGAACUAUAUUUUGUAUAAUUUUAAUUGAAUUGAAUGCUAUUUGGUAAUGAAUAUUAUAUAUAUAUGUGUGUUUGGAAUUGAUUUAUUAUUGGAUGUUUUGAAAUGAUUAUCGGAAGCUCGAUUGGGUUGGAAGCUUGUUGGAGAUAUAUCACAUUGUCCAUUGGUUCUAUCGGAAAUUUUGGAUGAUUUGAUUCUGGUUAUUGUAUAAGUUAAAUUGGUUAAUGUUAGCUCAUAAAAGUUUUGAUUUUGAUUGGUUAUAAAUAUGAAUGCUUGAUGAAAUGAAAUGUCUGAAAAUUAAUUUGUAAACUCCGAUAAUGCUCUAUAACCCUAUUCUGGGGAAGGAUACGGGUUAGGGGUGUUACAAAAAGCCUUCUCCUCUUGCCCUAUUACGGAUUGGAUUGAGAGCACCAAAGCCAAUGAGAACACAACCAAAAAAAACUUUUGCCAUCCUUUUUAUUUUCUAAAAAGGUUAAGAAAUAAGUAAAGAUAUAUUUUUAUUGAUGCUUAAGGAUGAAGAUGAGACAAAAUUUAAAGAUUUUAAAAUGAGACAUUUUGGGCGAAUUUAGGGGUCGUUGACUAGUCCAGUGCCUAAUAGCCAUACACGACAAAAAUACAUAUAACUUCUCUCCACAUUUUCAAUGGUGAUGUUUAUCACUAUUAUUGGUGGGUUCAAUUUACUUCACUUUGUUUCACUUGAAGACAUUGUGGGUGAUCAUUAAUGUGUUUUAAAAUCAUUCUGACCUUCCCUGUUUGCAUCAUCUGCACCAAUAAAAAACACUCCUUCUCCUUUUAUAGGUCAAUUUUUUUCAUGAAGCAACUUUAAACGUUACUAAUUUGUGGACCAAAAUCUAAAUAGCUUUCUUCUUCUAUAAUGAAGAUUGACUGUUAAAAAGAAUGUUCUUCUACUUGUCUAUAGGUAUCGAUCAUAGCACUGAUUGCCAAAUCAUUGCUUAGAGCUUGCUACCUAGACUUUUCAAAAAAAAAAGUCAAAUGACUAGGCCCGUUCUUGACAUUUUUGAGACCCUAGGCGGAACAAUAAAUUGGGGCCCCUUUUAAAAAAAUUAAAAAAUGUUAUGCAACAAAUAAAAAAAAUUGAGGCCAUUUUUUGAUCCCGUAAGAGCUUCUACUUUUGAUUCUGGAGAAGCUGCCACCCUUGAACUCAACAGUACCCUGUCAGCUUCCAAAGAUGCUGCCUCAUCAAAAGCCUUCUCCUCUUGUCCUACUACAAAUUGGAUUGAGAGCACCAAAGCCAUUGAGAACACAACCAAAAAAACCUUCACAAUCUUUUUUAUUUUCUAAAAUGGUUAAGAAAAAAAAAGUAAACAUAUAUUUUUAUUUAUGCUUAAGGUUGAAAAUGAGACGAAAUUUAAAGAGUUUAAAAUGAGAUAUUUUGGGCGAAUUUAGGGGUGGUUGACUAGUCUAGUGCCUAAUAACCAUACAUGACAAAAAUACAUAUAACUUUUCUCCACAUUUUCAAUGGUCAUGUUUGUCACAAUUUUUGGUGGUUUAAAUUUACUUCUUUUUGUUUCACUCGAAUACGUCGUGGGUGAUCGUUUAAAUUUUUUUAUUUUAUAAUUUUCACAUAUUUUUUUCAUUUAUUUAAAAUUUCAACCAAACAAAUUUUCUCAAUUUUUUUUCUACUUUUAGGAAAACAAAAAGAAAAAGAAAUCUUUAAUUUCUGAAACUAAAUAUACCCUAAACCUUUGCCUCCGACUCAUAAGAUAUUAAGAAUAAGGUAAUUAUUUGGUACACACGAAAUGUAAGUUUUUUAUUCCACAUAUGAAGUUGGGAUUUUGCCUCUUAUCAUAUAUAUAUUUAAUUUUUUGAAUAUAAAUUAAAUAAUAAAUAAUAAAAUCUCAACUAUAUUUAUGAAAUAAAAACCUUUCACCGUCACACCGAACAUUUCCCCUCGUGAUAUCACAAUAGUCUUUGUAAUCAUACUGACAAUCAUAAUGACAAAAGAAAGAAAAAGCUACGGGAUAUGAUAUUCACUACCCUCCAGUUAUGAGACUAUACAUAAUAUCGAUUGGAAGAAAUCGAAUUCAUAAAAAAUCCUACAAACUUAAUAGGUGUUUUUUUCAAGUAAGAAUAAUAAAUUUAGGGUCGAAAUUAAAUAGUAAUUUUUAUGAUAGUAAAAAUAUAAAUUUUAAAAGAUUAAAUCAAAAUUUUAUCAUUUUUAAAAAGUUAAAGUGCAACUUUCCUUUUACUAAUUUAAAAUUUUAAAAAUUUCUAAAAAGUCUAAAAGUAAAUGAUAAUAGAAUAAUUCUAAAAUCUGUCAUAUGCGCCAACUUGAGUUCUUGCGUCAAAUAUUUCGUGCUAUUUGCAUAUCCGCUCAUUUCUCGACACAUUGCAUAAUAAUUAUAAUUACUUAGAACAUGAUUAAAUGCCAAAUUAGAUAAAAUCCAUGUCAAAAAAUAAUCAAAAUAAAUAAUAAAAAUAUAUCGAUUAGCUGCAUUAUCAAUGUGUAAACCUAAUUUAAUGUCAAACUUAAAAGUUAAAAAUUUUCUUAUAUAUAAUGGUCAAACUAAAUUAUUGUUAAAUAUUAUAAAUAUUGAUAAUUAAUAAUAGUGUCCACACAUGAUUUUAAUAUUAAUGGUCAUAAUGUGUCAAACAAUUAAAAUAUUGACUUGUAAGAUUGUUUCCUUAAAUAUUGUAUAUAUUCGAGUUUUGCUAUUGUUGGGAGAAAAAAGUGAAAGGGUCUCGGCUCUCAGUAGUGUUGUGGAACUAAACUUUAAAUGUGGCUAAUUGUCUUGCAAGUCUUCCUUAUUUAUUAUUUUCUUUUUAUUCUCCUUCAACUGACUACAUUGUGUUUAAACAAACCCUUAAUCUAUUUUUGUAGUUAAAUAAGCCCUUAACUUGAUUUUUACUCAUAAAAUCCAUUUAUUUUAAUAUUAAAUUAAAUAUGUUUUACCCAUAUUAAAGGGCUUUUUAGUAUUUUAGCCCUGCUAGACUGUAUGUUGUAGAACCUGACACCUACAUUGCAGAAAUUGUUUGAUUAUUUUCAAUGCAUAAGAACCAAUGAAAACAUAGAUGGAAGGCUAAUAUACUAAAAGGUGCUUAAUCUAUUACACUUUGUUUAAACAAGCUUUUAUACUGUUUUUGUAGUUAAAUAGGCCCUCAAACUAUGAUUUUUACCCAUGAAAGUCCUAAAUUUUAAUAUUAAAGUAAUACUAUUUAAAAAAUAUAUAAAUUAAUUCGCAUUCUAUGUUGAUAUGAAUUUGAUGAGAAUAGUUUAUUAAAAAAAAUAAAAAUUUAAAAUUUGUUGAGAGUGCUUAUAUACAUGACAUGCUUAAUUACUAUUUUGAAAUUGCUGAUUACUUUUUUAGAUUUUAUGUUUCUGUUAAAGUGUAUAUAAUUUUUAUUGCAUCAACAAGAAAUUAAGAUGAGAGCUUGAAAUUCAAAAUAUAUUUACUUUAAUAUUAAAAUAAAAGACUUUUAUGUGUAAAACCCAUAGGUUAAGAGCUUAGUUAACUACAAAAAAAAGUUAAGGGCUUGUUUAAACACAAUAUAAUGAGUUGAAGGGGAAUAAAAAGAAAAAAUAUAUAACGAUGGUUUACAAGGCAAUUAGCCACAUUUAAGCGGCUCCCUUUCACUUCUUUUUCCAAUAGUCACUUAAAAUGGAAAUUUGCACUUCAAAUCCCUAAAUACUUUAAAUUAUUACAUCUCCGUUUGAUACCACUUGACACUAACAAAACAGUACAGUAAAAAACAUACCAUUUUGAUGUAUAUAUAUAUUCGGUUUUGUUAUUGUUUUUAACAUCGGCUUUUAAUUUAUCACAAUUUUUGGAUAAUUUAAAAAAAAUAAUAAUUAUAUUUUAAUUUAACAUAUAGAAAUUAAUGAGUCCUUGCAAAGCAAGAAUGUGUGUGACAGCGUGAUGAAUUUUUUCCCACACAAAAUCCAAAAGGAAUUAGGAAUCUUCAAAUUCGUCGGCCCAAACGUCACCCUUUUUCAGUGCUUCUCAUCAUUUAUAAAAACACUUCGAUUUCCUUUCUUUACUCCAAAUCCGACGUUCGUAAAAAAAGACCAGGUGAACUACCUACGCGCCGCCGUCACCACCAUGUCACAGCCUCAUUUCCUCCUAGUGACCUUCCCUGCACAAGGCCACAUAAACCCAACCUUACAAUUUGCCAAGCAUCUUAUACGUAUUGGCGUACGUGUAACUUUCAUCACCUGCAUCUCCGCUCGCCGCCGCAUGAGCAAAGUCCCCACUGCUCAAGGCCUAACGUUUUUACCCUUUUCCGAUGGCUACGACGACGGUUUUCAACCCGGCGAUGACAUAGACCAUUACCUAUCUGAAUUCAGGCGACGAGGCAAAGAAGCCAUCUCCGAGUUUAUAACAAGCAGUGAAAACGAAGGCAAACCCGUCACUUGCAUUGUCUACACCCUGUUCAUCCAUUGGGCCUCGGAGGUGGCGCGUAAACAUCACAUCCCGACAGCUUUACUUUGGAUUCAACCCGCCACCGUUUUCGACAUCUAUUAUUUUUACUUCAACGGAUACGAAACUACCUUUAAAGCUCAAGCUGAUGAAACAAACCCCCAGCGUUCAAUAAAAUUACCAGGUCUGCCGCUACUCGCCACCCGCGACCUUCCGUCGUUCCUAACCGCUUUAAACGUUUACCGUUGGGCACUGUCGUUAAUCCAAGAAAAAAUGGACGUCCUCGCUGAUGAAUCCAACCCCAAAAUCCUUGUUAACACAUUCGAUGCUUUGGAACACGAAGCAUUAAACGCCAUUGAAAAUUUCAACAUGGUCGGCAUCGGACCUUUAAUCCCAUUUUCUUUCUUGAACUCAAAUGACUCCUUGGAUAAUUCCUUGAGAACCGAUCUUUUUCAAUCCGAUUCAAAAGAUUACCUCCAAUGGUUAGACUCGAAACCAAAAUCGGCCGUCGUUUACGUUUCCUUCGGGAGCAUUGCGGUGUUAACGAAGCAACAAGUGGAGGAAAUCGCUCGAGCUUUAAUAUCCAGCCGGCGACCGUUUUUAUGGGUGGUGAGGAACCGGAAAGAUGGAGGCUACGAAGAGAAAGAAGAAGAUAAACUGACUUGCAGGGAAGAAUUGGAACAGUUUGGGAUGGUGGUUCCAUGGUGUUCGCAAGUGGAAGUACUGUUUCAUCCAUCCUUGGGUUGCUUCGUGACGCAUUGUGGGUGGAACUCGACGUUGGAGAGCAUGGUGGCCGGUGUACCAGUGGUGGCUUUCCCUCAAUGGACGGAUCAAAGGACUAAUGCGAAGCUGAUUGAAGAUGUGUGGGGGAAUGGGGUAAGAGUGAGUGCUAAUGAAGAAGGGAUCGUGGAACGGGAUGAGAUCGUUAGGUGCUUGGAUUUGGUGAUGGGGGAUGAUGAGAAAGGGAUGGAAGUGAAGAAAAAUGUAGAGAAAUGGAAAGGGUUAGCCACUGGAGCCGCCAUGGAAGGCGGCUCCAUGGAUAUGAACCUUAAAGCUUUUGUGGAUGAUAUUGCUGAAGGUUGUCGUAAGUAAAAUUAUCACUUUCAAAUCAAUUCAAUGUUUCAAUUCAAUUACCUGUAAUGUACUAUGCGUGCAAUUAUAGAUUUAAUAUAUAUUCUUUAAUUGAAUCAUUUUAAGUCACUAUUUUUUUCGAAUUCUAAAAUUUCCAUCUCGACACAAAUGAUAGUCACUAAUCCAUUAACUAAAAUUUCAAUAAGUAAUAUGUGAAAAUCGCAAACUGAAAUGCUAUUACACAUAUCAUAAUAUGUUUUGUUGCAUUAAAUUUUGAAAAUAACAGAAUUUAAUGAAUUUAACAAUUAUCGUUUAGUAAAGACUGAAAUUUUAAAAUUUUAAAAGUAAUAGAAUUAAAAAUAACCCAAUUAAAGUAUAAAUAUUAAAUCUACAAUUUUUAUAAAGUAAGACCAAUAAUAAAAUUUAAUAUUGUUUUUUUCUUGAAAGAAAUUGGAAGUGACCAUUAAGUACAAUAUGUGAUAGGGAUGGGAGAAUAUGAAUGGUGUGAUAGAUUUUGAAUGUAGGAAACAAACUUUUUUGAAAUGUGGUUGUAAGAUGGAGUGGGUUGGAUUUUUGUGUGUGUGGUCAAUGUGUAAUUCUUUGCCUUUAUAAAAGUAUCAUUUUAUCCAUUUAAUAUGUAUAACUAUUUAAAUAUGUAGAAAUGUGAAAAUGUAUUAUAGAAAAGCCUUUAUUUUUAAUUAAUGAGCUCUAACCGAUGAUUUAACAAUCAUAUGGUGGAUUAGUACUCAUCGACGAGUAGAGGAAAUCGCUUGAGCUUUAUUAUCCAGCUGACAACCGUUUUUAUGGGUGGUGAGGAACUGGAAAGAUGGAGGCUACGAAGAGAAAGAAGAAGAUAAACUGACUUGCAGGGAAGAAUUGGAACAGUUUGGGGUGGUGCUUCCAUGGUGUUUGCCAGUGGAAGUAUUGUCUCAUCGUCGUUGGAUUGCUUCGUGACACAUUGUGGGUGAAACUCGACGUUGGAAAGCAUGGUGGCCAUUGUACCAGUGGUGGCUUUCCCUCAAUGGACGGAUCAAGGGACUAAUGCGAAGCUGAUUGAAGAUGUGGGGGGAAUGGGGUGAGAGUGAGUGCUAAUGAAGAAGGGAUCAUGAAACGUGAUGAGAUUGUUAGGUGCUUGGGUUUGGUGAUGGGGGAUGAGGAGAAAGGGAUGCAAGUGAAGAAGAAUGUUGUGAAAUGGAAAGGGUUAGCGGAGAGGCCGCCAUGGAAGGUGGUUCCUUGGAUAUCAACCUUAAAGUUUUUGUGGAUGAUGUUGCUCAAGGUUGUUGCAAGUAAAUUUAUCUUUUCAUAUAAUUAUCUCCAUUUAUAUUUCGAAUUCUUAAAUCAAGAAAUAAUAUUUUUAAAAACGAUCAAAUUCCUCUUAACUGUUGUAAUAAUAAUAAUAAUAAUAUCAAAUUAAUGAUCUAAAAUUCGAUGGAAUGUUACAAAUAAAUUUCUAAUUUAUGUUUGUAUUAAAUUUAUGCUUAAAUUAAUUUUGGCCUAUGGUGUAAGUUUUUUUUAAAAAAAUUUUAAUGGCCAAAUUUAAUUAAUAACAUCAACAAUUGAAUUUUAAAUUUUAAGUCAAACUAAGAGACUAAAAUUUAAAAAUUAAAAGUAGUGGAUUAAAUUUUUAAAAAAAUUGCAAAAGAGUACAAGAAUUGGAGGUAUACUUAAAAAAAAUAUUAAAAUUUUCUUUUCUCCUCCAAUAAUAGAAUCUAAAGCUACGCACCUUUAUAAAAAUUAAAAAAAGAAUUAAUUGUCCAAGAUAAAUAUUAAAUAAUAAUAUUUAUGGACUUGAGUACAUGAAAUUUAUUGUUGGUCAUUUAAUUUAUCAUUUAACAAUUACUUUUGUUUUGGCUAUUGAGAAAAUUUUCUAGCCCUUAUAAUGUGUAUAUAUAUAUCUCCAUAUUAUUGGAUGUGUUUCUUUUUAUUAAAUUACAUAGCCUAAGGUUGCUUAUUGCGAUUAUGGUAAUUUGCUGCACCAUCCCCUGACUAAUUCUUCUCAUUUUUAGUGUUAGCAUUCUCCUACUUAAAAUCAGGGUCUCAUGUUGCUUUUUGAGCGUCAUUAUACCAUUCUCCUCUUUAACCCGCCGAAAAAUUCUGCUUUCGAUUCUGGAGAAGCUGCCACCCUUGAAGUCAAAAGUACCCUGUCAGCUUCCAAAGAUGCUGCCUCAUCAAAAGCCUUCUCCUCUUGUCCUACUACAAAUUGGAUUGAGAGCACCAAAGCCAUUGAGAACACAACCAAAAAAACCUUCACAAUCUUUUUUUAUUUUCUAAAAUGGUUAAGAAAAAAAAGUAAACAUAUAUUUUUAUUUAUGCUUAAGGUUGAAAAUGAGACGAAAUUUAAAGAGUUUAAAAUGAGAUAUUUUGGGCGAAUUUAGGGGUGGUUGACUAGUCUAGUGCCUAAUAACCAUACACGACAAAAAUACAUAUAACUGUUCUCCACAUUUUCAAUGGUCAUGUUUGUCACAAUUUUUGGUGGUUUAAAUUUACUUCUUUUUGUUUCACUCGAAUACGUUGUGGGUGAUCGUUUAAAUUUUUUUAUUUUAUAAUUUUCACAUAUUUUUUUCAUUUAUUUAAAAUUUCAACCAAACAAAUUUUCUCAAUUUUUUUUUCUACUUUUAGGAAAACAAAAAGAAAAAGAAAUCUUUAAUUUCUGAACCUAAAUAUACCCUAAACCUUUGCCUCCGACUCAUAAGAUAUUAAGAAUAAGGUAAUUAUUUGGUACACACCAAAUGUAAAUUUUUUAUUAAGUUGGGAUUUUGCCUCUUAUCAUAUAUAUAUAUAUAUAAUAUAAUUUUUUGAAUAUAAAUUAAAGAAGAAAUAAUAAAAUCUCAACUUGAUUUAUGAAAUAAAAGCCUUUCACCGUCCUACCGAACGAACAUUUCCCCUCGUUGUAUCACAAUAAUCAUUGUAAUCAUAAUGACAAUCAUAAUGACAAAAGAAAGAAAAAGCUGUGGGGUAUGAUAUUCACUACCCUCCAAUUAUGAGACUUAUAAUAGAGGGGAAUUAAGAAAAAAAAUUUUAGAGUCGAAAUUAAAUAGUAAUUUUUAUGGUAGUAAAAAUAUAAAUUUUAAAGGAUUAAAUUAAAAUUUUAUUGUUAAAAAAAAAGUUAAAGUGCAACUUUUCUUUUACUAAUUUAAAAUUUUAAAAUUUUUUAAAAAGUCUAAAAAAUAAAUGAUAAUAGAAUAAUUCUAAAAUCUUUGUCAUAUGCGCCAACUUGAGUUUUUGCGUCAAAUAUUUCGUGCUAUUUGUAUAUCCGCUCAUUUCUUGACACAUUACAUAAUAAUUAUAACUACUUAUAACAUGAUUAAAUUCCACGUUCUUAAAAGUAGAUUAACUACCUACGCGCCGCCGUCACCACAAAAUAUUUUAUAUUCGGUUUUGCAAUUGCUUUUAACUUCGGUCACAAACAAAAUUUUUUACUUACACAAACAAAAUUUUUUACUUAGUUAUUAAUAAUAAAAGUGGAUUAUUUUAUUAAAAAAUAAUUUAUAUUUUAUUUACGUUGUAUAAUAAUUAUAUCUACAUAAAAAAUAAUCGAUUAAAUUUCAAAUUACGUAAAAUUUAUUUCCAAAAUUAAUUAAUAUAAUUCAUAAAAAUACUUCGUAUUAUCAAUGUGUCAACUUAGUUUAAUGUCAAACUUAAAAAAAUGUAUAAUGUGAACAUGGCUAAAAAUUUUCUUUUUUAGAUAAAACCUUAAAAUAAUAUUUUACGGAUUUUUACUUAUAUAAUAUAAAAAAUUGAAAUUAAUAACUAAAAUAGCAUGCCCAUGAGAUUAUUUACCAAAAUGGUAUGUUUACUAUGGUGUUUUACUGGUGCCUCUUGUCAAAUUAGCAGUACCAAACUGAAAUGUAAUGAUCUAAAGUAUUUAGGGAUCGCAAAUUUUUCAUUUUGAGUGGUUGUUGGAGACAAAAGUGAAAUGGUGUCGAAUGUCAGUAGUGUUGUGGAACUAGACCUUAAAUGUGGCUAAUUUGCUUGCAAGCCCUCAUUAUUUGUUAUUUUCUUUUUAUUCCCUUUCAACUCACUACAUUGAGUUUAAACAAACCCUUAACUUAUUUUUGUAGUUAAAUAAGUCCUUAACUUGAUUUUUACUCAUAAAAUCCCUUUAUUUUAAUAUUAAAGUAAAUAUGUUAUACCCAUAUUAAAGGGCUUUUUAGUAUUUUAGCCCUGCUAGACUAUAUGUUGUUGAACCUGACACUUACAUUGCAGAAAUUGUUUGAUUAUUUUCAAUGCAUAAGAACCAAUGAAAACAUAGAUGGAAUGCUAAUAUACUAAAAAAUGUUUAAACAAGCUUUUAUACUGUUUUUGUAGUUAAAUAGGCCCUCAAAUUAUGAUUUUUACCCAUAAAAGUCCUAAAUUUUAAUAUUAAAGUAAAACUAUUUAAAAAAUAUAUAAACUAAUUCGUAUUUUAUGUUGAUAUGAAUUUGAUGAGAAUAGUUUAUUAAAUAAAAAAUAAAAAAUUAAAAUUUGUUUAGAGUGCUUAUAUACAUGACAUGCUUAAUUACUAUUCUGAAAUUUCUGAUUACUUUUUUAGAUUUUAUGUUUAUGUUAAAUUGUAUAUAAUUUUUAUUGCAUCAACAAGAAAUUAAGAUAAGAGCUUGAAAUUCAAAAUAUAUUUACUUUAAUAUUAAAAUAAAGAGCUUUUAUGAGUAAAACCUAUUGGUUAAGAGCUUAUUUAACUACAAAAAAAAGUUAAGGGCUUGUUUAAAUACGAUAUAAUGAGUUGAAGGGGAAUAAAAAGAAAAUAAUAUAUAAUGAUGGUUUACAAGGCAAUUAGCCACAUUUAAGCAGCACCAUUUCACUUCUUUUUCCGGUAGUCACUUAAAAUGGGAAUUUGCACUUCAAAUCCCUAAAUACUUUAAAUUAUUACAUUUCAGUCUGAUACCACCUGACACCAACAAAACAGUACAAUAACAGACAUACCAUUUUGAUGUAUAUAUAUUCGGUUUUGCUAUUGUUUUUAACUUCGGCUUUUAAUUUGUCACAAAAUUUUUGGAUAAUUUUUUUAAAAAAUUAAUUAUAUUUUAAUUUAACAUAUAGAAAUUAAUGAGUCCCUACAACAAGAAUGUGUGUGAUGACAACGUGAUGACUGUUUCUCCACGAAUUAGGAAUCUUCAAAUUCGUCAGGCCAAACGUCACCCUUUCAGUGCUUCUCAUCAUUUAUAAAAACACUUCGAUUUCCUUUCUUAGUUACUCCAAAUCCGAUGUUAGUAAAAAAAGACCAGGUGAACUACCUACGCGCCGCCGUCACCACCAUGUCACAGCCUCAUUUCCUCCUAGUGACCUUCCCUGCACAAGGCCACAUAAACCCAACCUUACAAUUUUCCAAGCAUCUUAUACGUAUUGGCGUACGUGUAACUUUCAUCACCUGCAUCUCCGCUCGCCGCCGCAUGAGCAAAGUCCACACUGCUCAAGGCCUAACGUUUUUACCCUUUUCCCAUGGCUACAACGACGGUUUUCAACCCGGCGAUGACAUAGACCAUUACCUAUCUGAAUUCAGGCGACGAGGCAAAGAAGCCAUCUCCGAGUUUAUAACAAGCAGUGAAAACGAAGGCAAACCCGUCACUUGCAUUGUCUACACCCUGUUCAUCCAUUGGGCCUCGGAGGUGGCGCAUAAACAUCACAUCCCGACAGCUUUACUUUGGAUUCAACCCGCCACCGUUUUCGACAUCUAUUAUUUUUACUUCAACGGAUACGAAACUAC